rnacentral:rRNA from 1 species
AACGAACGCUGGCGGCGUGGAUUAGGCAUGCAAGUCGUACGCGAAAGAGGGGGCAACCCCUUGAGUAGAGUGGCGAACGGGUGAGUAACGCGUGAGGAACCUGCCUUCGACAGGGGGAUAACACUCCCAACGGGGUGCUAAUACCGCAUGAGACCACGGGGCUGCAUGGCCCUGAGGUCAAAGAUGGCCUCUAUUUAUAAGCUAUCGGUCGAAGAUGGCCUCGCGUCCCAUUAGCUAGUUGGCGGUGUAAAAGACCACCAAGGCGACGAUGGGUAGCUGGUCUGAGAGGAUGGUCAGCCACACUGGGACUGAGAUACGGCCCAGACUCCUACGGGAGGCAGCAGUCGAGAGGCUUCGGCAAUGGGGGAAACCCUGACCGAGCGACGCCGCGUGAGGGAUGAAGGCCCUUGGGUUGUAAACCUCUUUUGUUCGGGAAGAAGUGCGAUCAGGUGAAUAAUCUGGUCGUUUGACGGUACCGGACGAAUAAGCUCCGGCUAACUCCGUGCCAGC